rnacentral:rRNA from 1 species
GACGAACGCUGGCGGCGUGCUUAACACAUGCAAGUGGAGCGACGAACCAGGCUUCGGCCUGGGGCAGAGCCGCGAACGGGUGAAUAACACGUGGGUAACGUGCCCCGAUGACCGGGACAACCCGGGGAAACCCGGGCUAAUACCGGAUGUGCUGUCCCAACAUCAGUUGGGAUUGGAAAGGAAGCUUCGGCCUCCGCAUCGGGAUCGGCCCGCGGCCCAUUAGCUUGUUGGUGAGGUAACGGCUCACCAAGGCCGCGAUGGGUAGCUGGUCUGAGAGGACGAUCAGCCACACUGGGACUGAGACACGGCCCAGACUCCUACGGGAGGCAGCAGUGGGGAAUCUUGCGCAAUGCGCGAAAGCGUGACGCAGCAACGCCGCGUGGGGGAAGAAGGCCUUCGGGUUGUAAACCCCUUUCAGGAGGGACGAAGGUUGGGCGGUGAAUAGCCGACCUGACUGACGGUACCUCCAGAAGAAGCCCCGGCUAACUACGUGCCAGCCGCCGCCGUAACAC